GACCCGGUGGCGUAACUGGUAACGCGCGCAAUUGCAGUUUCUUCACAAUAUUGCAUAAUUGCGAGUCCCUCGUUCGAUUCGGGGUCGGGUCG